CCAAUGGGGUCCGCUUACUGAGCGGGCACAGAAAAACUGCAUUGGGAGAAAAGGAGGCAUUUGAGAAGGGAGAGCUGAAAUGGUUUUCAGCAAUCCAGGAAAACUUGUUUUAGUUUAGAAUUUUUAUUUUUUAAUAAGAUGGGGGGGGGAAGGUUUGUUCUUUGUAAUUUUGCAAAAUGUAUUCAUUAACCACAUGAAAGGUACUCCCUGAUGUUAAUUUUAUACUUCCUAGUUUUCAAAUGACUGAAGAUUCUGACAGAUUUCUCUGAAAGUCCAAAGAAAGUAAUUGAAAACAAUGGCUGUUGAGACAUUUCAUUCCGAAUCUGCUAGAGCCAGAGCCAGACAGGCAAUGAAGACAGAGCUUAAAUGCAUGACAUUGCUGAUGAAUCUAUUCCGGUGAAGAGUUAAGAGGAGCAGGACCCACUGACUCCCCUUCCCGCACAAUGCAGUGUCUGAAAUGCUAAUCGGGACACCUCCCUCCAUGAGCGCCCCACCGGGAAGAACUGUUCAGCAACCUCUCGCCUCUGCCUGCUUUGACUCUGGCCAAGUCCACCACCAGCAUGUGCCCUGGCAUGGCAAGAAGGGAAUGUGAUCUUCAAGCUUAACACGAGUCAACAGUGUGAUGCAGCAGCAAAAAAAGGCUAAUGCUAUUCUAGGCUGCAACAACAGAAGUCUAGUGUCCAGAUCAAGGGAAGUAAUAGUUCCACUGUAUUCUGCCUUGGUCAGACCACAUCUGGAAUACUGUGUCCUGUUCUGGGCACCACAAUUUAGGAAGGAUGUUGACCAGCUGGAAGGUGUCUAGGGGAGGGUGAACAAGAUGAUCAAGGGUCUGGAAACCAAGCCUUAUGAGGAACGGUUGAAGGAGCUGGGUGUGUUUAGCCAGGAGAUAUGAGAGCCAUCUUCACAUAUCUCAACGGCUGUCACAUGGAAGAGGGAACAUGCUUGUUUUCUCCUGCUCUGGAGGGUAGGAUUCGAACCAAUGGCUUCAAGUUACAAGAAAGGAGAUUCUGACUAAACGUCAGGAAGACAGUAAGAGCUGUUUGACAGGGGAACAGAUACCCUUGGGAGGUUGUGGCCUCUCCUUCCUUAGAGGUUUUUAAGCAGAGGUUGGAUGGCCAUCUGUCAUGGAUGCUUUAGUUGAGAUUCCUGUUUGGAGUGGGCUGGAUUAGAUGACCCUUGGGAUCCCUUCCAACUCUAUGAUUUUAUGAUCCCCCAAACAUUUAUGUGCUAAAGGACAGCUGGGCUUGGAAAGAGGAAGGUUAUCGCCUCUUCUUCGCUGAUGUAGUGCUUGAUUUGAUGACCACUUUGCAUCUCUACCAAGCCAUCGUUCUCUGGCCUCCCUCACAAGGUGUCUCCUUUAAUUUUUGUCUUUACAUUUUGUUGCCACAACCAUGAACAAUUAGAUUGGGGGGGGGGCAGGAUUUUGCUUGCAAGGUUGGGGCAGGAUCAGGCCAUUGAACUGGAAUGAUCACCAAUGAAUUCAAAUGCCAAGAAAGUAGAUUCCAACCAAACAUCAGGAAGUGAACUUUCUGAUGGUAAGAACUGCUGAAUGGGUCUCCCUUGGAAAGUGGUGGCCUCUCCUUCCUUGGAGGUUUUUAAGCAGAGGUUGGGUGGCCAUCUGUCAUGGAUGCUUUAGCCGAGGUUCCAGCAUUGCAGGGGGUUGGACUAAAUGGCCCUUGGGGUCCCUUCCAGCUCCAUGAUUCAAAAAGGGUUCCCCAGCUGUGACUUGGCACAAACAUGCAAGCCUGUGUUGUUCUGGGAGAGGAGAUGGUGGUUGCUUUCCUUCUCCCCAGUCGUUCUGCUAUAAGUCACAAUUUGGCUUAGUGUGUCGUCUGAACCUGGGCAGGAGGUUUACCUCUCUCCAGGCUAAUCAUGAAUGGUAACUGAGGUUAGCUAGUGAAGAAAGGUUUCAGCGUUUGGGCGAGUAAGAGACAACAUGAUAGAUAUAUAUAAAAUCAUGUGUGGCAUGGAGAAAGUGGAUAGGGAUUUUUUUCCCCUCCCUCUCUCAUAACCCUGGAACUUGUAGGCAUCCAAUGAAGCUGAGUGUUGGAAGAUUCAAGAAAGAUCAUAAAUUCACAGUGUUGACCCUGAGGAUUAUCUCCGCCUGCAAUUCAGGAAUAUGCAGCUGUCCCAUACGGGGAUCAAACCUGCAGCCUUGGUGUUAUCAGCACCACACUCUAACCAACUGAGCUAUCCAUAAAAUAAAGGACUUCUUCUUGCAGAGUAUACCUUAACCUGUGGAACUCAUGCCCACAGGACAAAUUCACAGAGAAGGGAAGGCUAUCAAAGGCUACCAACCAUUAUGGUUAUUGCUCUGCCUUCCACGGUCAGAGGCAGCAGGUCAACUGAAUACCCGUUGCUGGAAACCAGGGGAGGAGAGAGGGCUUUGAGUCCUGCUUGUGGGUUUCCCCCAGGCAUUUGAUUGGCCACUGGAAGAAUGUGGGACUAGGUGGGCCAUUGGCCUGAUCUAACAGCCUGUUCUUAUUUUCUUGUGAAUCCCAGCCGGUUAGGUUCCAGGUGCUUUUUGGAAGAAUGAUUUCUGACGGCACUUACUUCAUAA